GCCUGUCUGGCUCAGUUGGUAGAGCAUGCAACUCUUUAUCUUAGAGUUGUGAGUUCAAACCUCACUAAGGGUG
rnacentral:tRNA from 1 species